rnacentral:rRNA from 1 species
GUUUGAUCCUGGCUCACGACGAACGCUGGCGGCGUGCUUAACACAUGCAAGUCGAGCGGAGUAAAGAGGGGCUUGCUUUUCUUUACUUAGCGGCGGACGGGUGAGUAACACGUGGGCAACCUACCGUAUGGAGGGGAAUAACAGGGAGAAAUCUUUGCUAAUACCGCAUAGAUCCAAAGUUUUGCAUAAAGCUUUGGAGAAAGGAGAAAUCCGCCAUAGGAUGGGCCCGCGUCCCAUUAGCUAGUUGGUGAGAUAACAGCCCACCAAGGCGACGAUGGGUAGCCGACCUGAGAGGGUGAACGGCCAACAGUUGGGCAACUGAGAACGUACUAGACUGCCUAGCGAGCAGUCAGUGGGUGAUACUGCUACAUGGGUGACCCAUGCAUGCAGCACGCGCUGAGCGACUGAACGUCUUCGGAUUGUAAGCUUCGUCUACGCUGACGACUAUAGACGUAAGCGAGAGAGACCGGCUAACUGACGUGCCAGCAGCCGGUAAUACGUAGUGCAUGCGUGUCCGAAUACUGGGCGUAAAGGUGCGUAGGCGGUUUUUAAGUGGGAUGUGAAAUCCUGAGGUUAACUUCAAAUUGCAUUCAAACUGGAAGGCUAGAUACAGGAGAGGAAAAGCGGAUUUCCCAGUGUAGCGGUGAAAUGCGUAGAGAUUGGGAGGAACACCAGUGGAAGGCGGCUUUUCUGGACUGUAACUGACGCUGAGCACGAAGCGUGGAGCAAACAGGAUUAGAUACCCUGGUAGUCCACGCCGUAACGAUGGAUACUAGGUGUGGGGGGGCUAAGCCCUCUGUGCCGCAUUACACAUUAAGUAUUCCGCCUGGGGAGUACGAUGCAGAUUAAAUCAAAGCGAAUUGACGGGACCCCGCACAAGCACGACAUGUGGUUUCAUUCGAUGCACGUCGAAGAACCUUACCAUAGGCUCUGACAUCUAAAAAUUAAUAAGAUUAUUCGGAGUGUCCCUGAAACGGGGAGUCUUUAGUACAGUGGUGCAUGAGUUAGCUCGUCAGUCGUGGUCGUGUAGAUGUUCAGUAAGUCUGCAAACAGAGCGCAACCUACGUAUUAGUGACAUACUCAUUAAUUCGCAGCACCUGUAAGACCGUGCACCCUGAGCCUAAGGUUAACUUAGAGGAAGGUGGGGAUGACGUCAAAUCAUCAUGCCCUUUAUGCCUUGGGCAACACACGUGCUACAAUGGUCGGUACAAAGAGAAGCAAUACCGCGAGGAGGAGCAAAUCUUAAAAACCGAUCCCAGUUCGGAUUGCAGAUUUCAACUCGCCUGCAUGAAGCCGGAGUUGUUAGUAAUCGUGAAUCAGCAUGUCACGGUGAAUACGUUCCCGGGUCUUGUACACACCGCCCGUCACACCAUGAGAGUCAGUAACACCCGAAG